rnacentral:rRNA from 1 species
GAUGAACGCUGGCGGCGUGCCUAAUACAUGCAAGUCGAGCGAACAGACGAGGAGCUUGCUCCUCUGACGUUAGCGGCGGACGGGUGAGUAACACGUGGAUAACCUACCUAUAAGACUGGGAUAACUUCGGGAAACCGGAGCUAAUACCGGAUAAUAUAUUGAACCGCAUGGUUCAAUAGUGAAAGACGGUUUUGCUGUCACUUAUAGAUGGAUCCGCGCAGCAUUAGCUAGUUGGUAAGGUAACGGCUUACCAAGGCGACGAUGCGUAGCCGACCUGAGAGGGUGAUCGGCCACACUGGAACUGAGACACGGUCCAGACUCCUACGGGAGGCAGCAGUAGGGAAUCUUCCGCAAUGGGCGAAAGCCUGACGGAGCAACGCCGCGUGAGUGAUGAAGGUCUUCGGAUCGUAAAACUCUGUUAUUAGGGAAGAACAAAUGUGUAAGUAACUAUGCACGUCUUGACGGUACCUAAUCAGAAAGCCACGGCUAACUACGUG